rnacentral:lncRNA from 1 species
ACUAGAGACCAAACCAAAGCUGUGGUCCAAAUGGAACCACUUUGUCGUACGUGCUCCGAUAAGAAUUAAAUAUCCAGAAAAGUAAUUGAAAUACAGCUCAGGAUCAUUAAAAGAAUUUUAUUUUUCUUUCUUCCUGUGAAAAGGGCAUGUGAAAGCAAGAGAACAUCAUGCACCCGGCAUCCCUACCUGGCUACAGUGUUGAAGACCCACAAUUAAUUAAUUAAUUCCCUCGCAAAAGAAAAUAAAUAAAACAAAAGGAAGAACGACAAUUAAUGGCGGCAA